UACGGGGGGGGUAAGCGUUGUUCGGAAUUACUGGGCGUAAAGGGCGCGUAGGCGGCCUGCUAAGUCGAACGUGAAAUCCCUGGGCUCAACCCAGGAACUGCGUCCGAUACUGGUUGGCUUGAAUCCGGGAGAGGGAUGUGGAAUUCCAGGUGUAGCGGUGAAAUGCGUAGAUAUCUGGAGGAACACCGGUGGCGAAGGCGAGUCUCUGGGAUGAUGCUGACGCUGAGGCGCGAAAGCCAGGGGAGCAAACGGG
rnacentral:rRNA from 1 species